GCGAUGAUGCACCGUGGUGGACUAACCUGGACCCCCCACGGGCUGACUCUUAAUCAGCGGGUUCGGGGUUCGAGUCCCUGAUGGCGCA
rnacentral:tRNA from 1 species